rnacentral:tRNA from 1 species
UCCCCGGUCGUAUAUCGGUUAGUACACGCGCCUGUCACUUCAACGGGUGCGCGCGAGAGCUGGGUUCGACUCCCAGCCGGGGAG